GAUGAACGCUAGCGACAGGCCUAACACAUGCAAGUCGAGGGGCAGCAUAGAGUAGCAAUACUUAGAUGGCGACCGGCGCACGGGUGAGUAACGCGUAUGCAACCUACCUACUACAGGGGGAUAGCCCGUUGAAAGACGGAUUAAUACCGCAUAAAACAGGGACACCGCAUGGUGAUAUUUGUUAAAGAUUAAUUGGUAGUAGAUGGGCAUGCGUUCCAUUAG
rnacentral:rRNA from 1 species